rnacentral:lncRNA from 1 species
AUCAGUUCCUCACCUGAAGCAGUCAGAAAUGAUCACUUGAAAAAUGCUGUGCCAAUUCUUUCCAGAGGAAUCAGAGUACCAACUAUUCUGUUCUCUUUCCAUCUUGGAGUAGGGGAUGAAGCUCAACUCCUCAUUGUGCCUGGCUGACUCUGCUGAAAAAGAGUAUAGUGCAAAUUAUCUCCAUCUUAUGCUACCUUGUUCCCUUUCAUUGAUACUAGGUGAGAAUGAAGGCUCAGCUGCCCCUUGAACCUCUGUGAAACUACCCUGGCAAAGGAAUUAGAGCACCACCUGUUUCCACUGAGUAACCAUGGGCAUUCUUCUGCUCCUGGCCUGCCUAGCUGCCUUAUGAUAAAUUUGCUGCAGAUUAGUACAUUGACCUGAGAGUAAUAGAAGAAGUGAAACAAUACUUUACAGACCUAAUUAGGGAAGACUGAACUAAAUAGAUAAAACAGCAACAAAUUAACUUCCCUUGUUUCUCUCUCUUUUAGAGCUAGAUUUAGGCAAAGUGACUAAGUAAGUGAAAUUUGACUGUAACGUGUCUUCCCUAUUUACUGCCUUUUACUGUUUUCUCACGUGCCACAGGACACUCAGCUGUCUUCUGGAUGUGCCACACAUUUCUCCAAAGAUCUCAGUCAAAAUUUAGCUGCUCUUCUCAGUCCAAGCCUUUCUGCACUGUUGAUUGUUUUUUAACCACAUCAUGGAUAAAAUAAUCAAAAUCAAAAUAGAUAAGUUUUUUUACAUGUAAAUUUUUCUCUUUAGGGCUUCAUUCCUUCAGGUCCUUGCUAAAUGAAUGACCAGCAAUAAAUUAAAAAGUUAAAGGAAAAAAAAAUUUUUUUCUUUUUCUUUCUUUUUUUUAAUUUUUUUAUUUUUGAGACAGGGUCUCACUCUAUCACCCAAGGUGGAGUGCAGUGGUCCAAUCACGGCUCACUGCAGCCUCAACCUCAUGAUCUCAAGCGAUCAUCCCACCUGACUACAGGCACACA